rnacentral:rRNA from 1 species
GUGUGCACGCCAAGGUGGGCGGGCGAGCUUGGCAUCCCGGAUCUCACGUGGCUAAACACUGCUCUUCAGGCCCGCUGGCCUUGGUUGCAACGUGUGGACACCUCCCGGCCUUGGGCUAACUUUGACAUCAAGAUCCUAGAGGAAGCGCGCAAAAUCUUCCAAGCCACGGCGCUCGCCGUGGUUGGCGAUGGUAGGAAGACGUUGUUCUGGGAGGAUAGGUGGAUUCAGGGCAUGAGGGUGCAAGGCAUUGCGCCAGGCCUAUACUCGCGGGUGCAAAAGCGGAUUUGUGCAGCCUGUACAGUGUUCGAAGCUUCGCAGGAUGGCGCCUGGGCUCGGGAUAUUGGCCCGGAUAUUGAUCACACCUCACUUACCGAAGUCUUUGGGCUAUGGGAGAAGGUAGAAGAGGUGCAACUAACUCCUAUGGUGGAGGACUCCAUAACUUGGGCAUGGGAGGCGAGUGGCUCUUACUCUGCGAGAUCGGCCUAUGCGGCCAAGUUUUGGGGCAUGGAAGUAGCGACAUAUGCAGAGAUGGCUUGGAGCUCGAAGGCUCCGAAGCAAUGUUAUUUUUUCGCUUGGCUUGCGGGGAGAAACAUGUGUUGGGCCUCAGAUCAGUUGGCACGCCGUGGUCUGCCACACCAAGCUACUUGUCCCUUUUGUAGACAAGACGCAUAG